UUUAGCGGCCGCGAAUUCGCCCUUAGAGUUUGAUCCUGGCUCAGGAUGAACGCUAGCGGCGCGCCUAAUGCAUGUAAGUCGAACGAUGAGGCUCCUUCGGGAGUACAUCAGUGGCAGACGGGUGAGUAACACGUGGGUGACCUGCCCCUUAGACCGGGAUAACUAGUGGAAACAGUGGCUAAUACCGGAUGACCUUAUAGAGAUCAAAACAAUAAGGAAAGGAGAAAUCCGCUAAGGGAGGGGCCCGCGGCCCAUCAGCUAGUUGGUGAGGUAAAGGCUCACCAAGGCAAAGACGGGUAGGGGGUGUGAGAGCACGGCCCCCCACAAUGGGACUGAGACACGGCCCAUACUCCUACGGGAGGCAGCAGCAGGGAAUAUUGCACAAUGGACGAAAGUCUGAUGCAGCGACGCCGCGUGGAUGAAGAAGGCCUUCGGGUUGUAAAAUCCUUUUAGUGGGGAAGAGGAAGGACGGUACCCACAGAAUAAGCGUCGGCUAACUACGUGCCAGCAGCCGCGGUAAGACGUAGGACGCAAGCGUUAUCCGGAUUUACUAGGCGUAAAGCGUCUGUAGGCGGAGGAAUAAGUUGGGCGUGAAAGCUCCGGGCUCAACCCGGAGAGAGCGUUCAAUACUGUUUCACUAGAGGAAGUCAGAGGAGAGCGGAAUUUCCGGUGUAGCGGUAAAAUGCGCAGAUAUCGGAAGGAACACCAGUGGCGAAGGCGGCUCUCUGGGACUCACCUGACGCUGAGAGACGAAAGCUAGGGGAGCGAACAGGAUUAGAGACCCUGGUAGUCCUAGCCAUAAACGAUGGAUGCUAGGUGUGGGACCGAGAAGGUUCUGUGCCGGAGCAAACGCGAUAAGCAUCCCGCCUGGGGAGUACGACCGCAAGGUUAAAACUCAAACGAAUUGACGGGGCCCCGCACAAGCAGCGGAGCGUGUGGUUUAAUUCGAUGUUACACGAAGAACCUUACCUGGGAUUGACAUGUAGAUGGUAGUGAGGCGAAAGCCGAACGACCCUUCGGGGAGUCUACACAGGUGCUGCAUGGCUGUCGUCAGCUCGUGCCGUGAGGUGUCGGGUUAAGUCCCGUAACGAGCGCAACCCUUGCCCGCCGUUACAAGUGUCAGCGGGGACUGCCGGCGGUAAGCCGGAGGAAGGUGGGGAUGACGUCAAGUCAGCAUGGCCCUUAUACCCAGGGCUACACACACGCUACAAUGGUCGGUACAAAGGGCAGCGAAGCCGCGAGGUGAAGCGAAUCCCCAAAAGCCGGUCGUAGUUCGGAUUGCAGGCUGCAACCCGCCUGCAUGAAGCUGGAGUUGCUAGUAACCGCGCGUCAGCUAUAGUGCGGUGAAUACGUUCCCGGGGCUUGUACACACCGCCCGUCACGUCAUGGAAGUUGGUAACGCCUGAAGCCGGUAGCUUAACUGGAAACAGGGAGCGCUGUUCAAGGCGGGACUGGCAACUGGGACGAAGUCGUAACAAGGUAAAGGGCGAAUUCGUUUAAACCUGCAGGACUAGUCCC
rnacentral:rRNA from 1 species